rnacentral:rRNA from 1 species
UAGGGAAUCUUCGGCAAUGGGGGGAACCCUGACCGAGCAACGCCGCGUGAGUGAAGAAGGUUUUCGGAUCGUAAAGCUCUGUUGUUAAGGAAGAACGAGUGUGAGAAUGGAAAGUUCAUGCUGUGACGGUACUUAACCAGAAAGGGACGGCUAACUACGUGCCAGCAGCCGCGGUAAUACGUAGGUCCCGAGCGUUGUCCGGAUUUAUUGGGCGUAAAGCGAGCGCAGGCGGUUAGAAAAGUCUGAAGUGAAAGGCAGUGGCUCAACCAUUGUAGGCUUUGGAAACUGUUUAACUUGAGUGCAGAAGGGGAGAGUGGAAUUCCAUGUGUAGCGGUGAAAUGCUUAGAUAUAUGGAGGAACACCAGUGGCGAAGGCGACUCUCUGGUCUGUAACUGACGCUGAGGCUCGAAAGCGUGGGUAGCAAACAGG